GGAGUCUGGGCCGUGUCUCAGUCCCAAUGUGGCCGUUCAACCUCUCAGUCCGGCUACUGAUCGUCGGCUUGGUGAGCCGUUACCUCACCAACUACCUAAUCAGACGCGAGCCCAUCUUUAAGUGAUAAAUCUUUGAUAUAUCUAAGAUGCCUUAAAUAUAUUUUAUAGGGUAUUACCAUCCGUUUCCAGAAGCUAUCCCCCUCUUAAAGGCAGGUUGCUCACGUGUUACUCACCCGUCCGCCACUAAGAAAAUGAAUAAAUCCAAUUUCUCCGUUCGACUUGCAUGUGUUAAGCGUGCCGCCAGCGUUCGUCCUCGAGCCACUGAUCAAACUACU
rnacentral:rRNA from 1 species